rnacentral:lncRNA from 1 species
GUGCUGGCCCUGCCUGGGUUCGUGUGGAAGCAGCUGUCUGGUGAGGAGGUGAGCUGGAGCAAAGACUUCCCAGCUGUGGACUCCGUGCUGGUGAAGCUCCUGGAAGUGAUGGAAGGAGUGGACAAGGAGACGUUUGAGUUCAAGUUUGGGAAGGAGCUAACAUUCACCACGGUCCUGAGUGAUCAACAGGUCGUGGAGCUGAUUCCUGGGGGCACAGGCAUCGUGGUGGGAUACGAGGACCGCUUGCGUUUCAUCCAGCUGGUGCAGAAGGCGCGGUUAGAGGAGAGCAAGGAGCAGGUGGCAGCCAUGCAGGCAGGUCUGCUGAAGGUGGUACCACAGGCUGUGCUGGACUUGCUGACCUGGCAAGAGCUGGAAAAGAAGGUGUGUGGGGACCCAGAGGUCACUGUGGAUGCUCUGCGCAAGCUCACUCGGUUUGAGGACUUCGAACCAUCUGACACCCGAGUGCAUCUUCCUCCCAGUGCCAAGGUAUGUGAGGAGAAGCUGCGCUAUGCUGCGUACAACUGUGUGGCCAUCGACACUGACAUGAGUCCCUGGGAGG